AUUGAACGCUGGCGGCAGGCCUAACACAUGCAAGUCGAACGAGUGGCGGACGGGUGAGUUAUGUCUGGGAAACUGCCUGCUGGAGGGGGAUAACUACUGGAAACGGUAGCUAACACCGCAUUCCAAUCGAUGUGCCCAGAUGGGAUUAGCUAGUUGGUGGGGUAACGGCUCACCAAGGCGACGACCCCGAGCUGGUCGGAGAGGAUGACCAGCCACACGGGAACUGGGACACGGGCCAGACUCCUAAGGGAGGCAGCAGUGGGGAAUAUUGCACAAUGGGCGCAAGCCUGAUGCAGCCAGGCCACGUGUAUGAAGAAGGCCUUCGGGUUGUAAAGUACUUUCAGCGGGGAGGCGUUACCCGCAGAAGAAGCACCGGCUAACUCCGUGCCAGCAGCCGCGGUAAUAC
rnacentral:rRNA from 1 species